AGACACGGUUUCCCUUCGGGGCCGGUUCACAGGUGGUGCAUGGUCGUCGUCAGCUCGUGUCGUGAGAUGUUGGGUUAAGUCCCGCAACGAGCGCAACCCUCGCCGCAUGUUGCCAGCGGGUGAUGCCGGGAACUCAUGUGGGACCGCCGGGGUCAACUCGGAGGAAGGUGGGGAUGACGUCAGAUCAUCAUGCCCCUUACGUCCAGGGCUUCACGCAUGCUACAAUGGCCGGUACAACGCGGUGCGACACGGUGACGUGGGGCGGAUCGCUGAAAACCGGUCUCAGUUCGGAUCGCAGUCUGCAACUCGACUGCGUGAAGGCGGAGUCGCUAGUAAUCGCGGAUCAGCAACGCCGCGGUGAAUGCGUUCCCGGGCCUUGUACACACCGCCCGUCAAGU
rnacentral:rRNA from 1 species